GGGUGCACGGUCCGAAGGUCGGAGCGGCAGGUUUAUGUGCUGGUCGGGCCGCCAGCA
rnacentral:ncRNA from 21 species